GUUUUUUCCCCUUUAAUAAACAAUAUAGUUACAAUACAGCAACAAAGGAGGUGUCAUGCAAUACAUUAACAUUAACAAAGCAAGGGGGAAAAAAACACUGCCUGGGGCUCCGGUAACUGAGUGAAAUGACACUGGUUCUUAGCAACAUUGAGCAGGCACAAAGUCAGCAGAAAAAAAGCUUUUCUGAAAGAAAAGUUGAAAUAUGUCCUUCAUAAGACAUGUCCAGCACAAGAGCUUAUUGUGUGGGGUGGCUCCAUCUGCCUAACACGAGAAGACUUUUGGAGUUUGGGAUUAAAGCAGGACAUCGAAAGUAAUGGAAUGGAUGUCCACAUUGUGGAUUUGUAUACAGUUCCCACUUGGAAGAUGGUGCAUGAGAUCCAAUUACUGGUGAGUUCAAUACCGGUACCUCAGUACAUUGCAUAAAUGCAGCAAACUCGAAAACACAAAUUGGAAAUGUAGAGUUGUAUGGAUUUAUGGGUGUCCAAACCUUAUGUUUACAGGAGCACAUGGGCUCCAAAGAUGCCCUGAUAAUACCCGCAUGGAGUAGGCAGCAUGGUGAAGGGGACCACUACACGCCUUGUGUACAUUUUCAGUUAUUAGCAUUCUUUUACAUAGGGAUGGCCCAUAUGUUUGUUACUGCAUAUCAUAACGAUUACAGAAUGUUUUUUACAGGUACUUUUGAUAGCACAGAGAGGUGCUUUUCUUGGAGUCUCUGUGUCUGGAUGAUUUUGGUGAUGAGACCUACAGGAGCAUAUUUAGGUUCAUUCAGUCUAAAGAGUUUGUUGGCCUUAUUAUGGCUUAAGGCUGACGUGUAGACAUAUAAAAACAGUACGAAAUUGCGCACUUGCGCACUUUAAUGCGUGAUUUUAGGGCGUAGUGCGUUCACAAACUUCACACUGACAACUAAGCUAAAAUUCAGUGCACUGAAAGUACCCGGUUGGUGCACUGAAAACGGCCAGAAAACGCAGUGCAGAAUGAUGGACACUACUCGCACUAAAUGGACGCCAUUUUGACUACGUAACGGAAGGGGAGGGACUUUCGGCAAGUUUUUAUUGUUAAAUUAAGGCGGACAACACGUAAGCCCAGGCGGAGGCAACUGCUUCAUAUAAAUCUAAGUAACGUUAAUAAAAUUAUUUUACUGAUGUAUACUGCGGUGUGUAGCCUGUCACUCUCUGACGGCAGUUAUAGAUAAUUUGAGUUUGCAAUUAUAUCAACUUAGAAGAGUUCGCACACGUAAAUGUUAGCAGUUUUUUAGCCGGUCGUAGAUAGGUUAUAUUCUAUACACGCAAAUAAAGCCACAAGGAAAUUCAUUGUAAAGAAAACAUGGCAGAUAUUUUGGCGCACUGGAGAAUCGCGAUCAAAUGCUAGUGUGUCACUUCCGGUAAGUGCAAAACGUUAGUGUUCCAUUUAGGACAGCACUUUCCCAUGGUAGUGUGCACUACAGAAGGAAGUGCGCACUACGCACUACAUCUCAGUGCACUGGCGCAAGUGCGCGAUUUCGGACACACCCUCAGUGUCAAGUUGGGAAAAAGGGGAUAUUUGCACCUAACACCAACUACUUGUGUCAUUGAACAAUUACUGGAAGCUGGCUUAAAUGUACACGUUAUUCUAUUUGAUAUGACUAUGUACUAAUACGGUGUUUGACCCCCUUUCGCCUUCAGAACUGCCUUAAUUCUACGUGGCAUUG